GCUUGUGAAAUGCAUGGCUGUUGAUUUAAUAUUCUUUGGUCUGCAGGUUCCAGGCGCACUUGGGAACGCCGAAGAAUGGAAAAGAACCGACUUGCUAGAAUGUGGUUCAGCUCCAAAGACCUUAAAGUUUGGAGGAUGAGAUCAGACCUGUCUCUAUGGAAAAAAAAGACCUGUCUCUAUGAACUAGGCAUUACCGUGGUGCUCCGGCAUCUCUUCUCUAAGCCUGAGGAAUCCAACUGACCUCCACAGUGAAUACAGGUAAUAAUUGUUCAAAUGGGGGGGGGUUGGAGAAUUCUCUCCAGUUUUGCCUACAACCAGAAGAGCAAAUGUCCAGUGGAGCAGUGUUGCCUUUUUGCUCCUUCCAGCUUGUUCCUUUUGGAAUGACUUUCCUGUGGAGGGAGAGAGCAGCCCAGCUGUAUACUUCUUGUGAGGCUAUGCUCUCCCUUACCCCAUACGUCACUGUCAGAUGAUUUGAAUAGAUAUGCUGAUCCUCUGUGAGGUACAACAAUUAAUAGCAUGUUAGAGUUCUGAUGACAGUUUCUGUUAACAAGGAAACUUCAUUCCAUCCUAAUAUUUUUGGGUAACUGUUUGUUCACCUUUUACAGGUUGACUUGAUGGUGAUCCAUUCAUCUAUUUACAUAGGCUCUGUGCCCAACAUGGGGCCGAAACUCAGGACCUCAAGAUCAAGAGUUGGGUGCCCCACCAACUGAGCCAGCCAGGCAUCCUUUGCUUUAUUUCUUCUGGGUACUCCUUUGAUCUGUCCAGGGUUGAGCUCUCCAAAAGCAACAUUAAGGAUGGAGCAGCUUGUUUCCUGUAUGCUACCCCAAAGUCUCCAGAGCUAACAGGUCCUGUUACACCUAUAACCUGCUUGUUUGCUGAAAGGUCCAGUACCUUGUGUGGGACUCAAGAAUGAUUUGAGGAACCCUCAGCCAUUUUUCUGUUCAGCUCCAGUCUGAGGCAAGUAAAUUUACAUACAGAGUGACCCAAACUAGAACCUCCCAGUGAAGAAACAGUCACAUGUCUUACCUCCUGUCCUAGUCCCAGAGCCUGUAAAGGUGAACCCACUGGGGCUGGCUGGGGGAAGGAAGGACAUUUGCUCCGGAAGGAACUGUCUGAGGGAUCAUAAGAGAUUUCUAAAUAUGGGAAAAGGGAAUAAAUCAUUUGGUGAAGUCAACUGUACAUACUUCUUUGUAGGUCUAAAGAAAGAACAAAGCUUUUAUAUAACAGGAGCUGCCCAAAUCCAUCCCAGAGUUGCCACAGGAAAGUGGGUCCCGUAGUGCCAGCUCCCAGAGGCAGCACUCUCGGACAACCCUGCAACCGGCCUCCCACAGGACCUCCCCAUCUGUGCCUCUACUUGGUAUGGCCUCUUGUUAGGUGUUUGGAUACCUUCUGUCAAGUUCUCUAGCCUCUUGAGGACUGUGGUUAACUUGUAGGCUAGUGAAUGGGCCUAGGGGACGCUAAGGGUCUGCCUGGAAGUUGUAUACUAAAUAAGUAUACAGCAACUCAUUUGGGUAAAGCUUCAGCAGAUUCUCAGAGUGGUUGGGAAAUGCAAUAAAGUUAAAAUUAAGGGGAUCCCUGGGUGGCUCAGUGGUUGAGCAUCUGCCUUCGGCCCAGGGCCUGAUCCUGGAGUCCUGGGAUCAAGUCCCACAUUGGGCUCCUUGCAUGGAACCUGCUUGUUCCUCAGCCUGUCUCUGGGUCUCUCAUGAAUAAAUAAAUCUUUUUUUAAAAAAUGGGAGGGGAAAUGUUAAAAGCCUUUGAAUAUUAUGCAACAGUUAACAGAAUAUUGGUUUCAUGAAAAUAAAUAAAUUUAGAAUAUGCACCUGGAAAGCAUAUUCCUUGGCCUCACUUUGCCUGUCCUCAAAGCCAGUGAUUCUCUGUGAACUCUACCACUUGCGUCCAGUUCUGCAGUCAGGGCCCAAGGCUCUCACCUAGAUGAUCACAGGAUUCUUCUGUUUUCCCCAGGAAACUGAACGUCAGGAAGGCAAGGACCCCAUCUGAUUUUAUUAUUGCAGAAUGUGCUCAACAAGCACAAGUGAACAAAAGGCUUCCCAGGAGCAAAUGUAAUCCCAAGUUCUUAUGGCACCUGCACCAUCAGUCUCCCUUACUUGUGUAGGAAGAAGAAGGGGUAACAGCAAACUGGGUGAAGGAGCCACUCCCCACUUAUCCUGGCUUCCAAGGAAGAUGGCGGCUGCUGCAGAGUGCAGCCCUGUCUGGGGAAUUGCCCACCACAAGAUCUAUGAUCUGUGCUCCAGUACAAAGGCUGUAGCCUGGGCAGAAGGUGAAGCCUGCUCAGCUUGCGGGCUGUGGCUUGCCUGAGGUUGGGUCUUGAAGAAUUUGGAAGUCGAGAUGAAAAGAAACUGAAUUUGGGGGGCACCUGGUUGGCUCAGUGGUUGAGCGUCUGCCUUUGGCUUGGGUGGUGAUUCUGGAGUCCUGGGAUCAAGUCCUGCAUCAGGCUCCCUGCAGGAAGCCUGUUUCUCCCUCUGCCAAGUCUGCUUCUGUCUCUCAUGAAUAAAAUCUUUUUUUAAAAAACCUGAA